rnacentral:rRNA from 1 species
AGAGUUUGAUCCUGGCUCAGACGAACGCUGGCGGCGUGCUUAACACAUGCAAGUCGAACGAUGAAGCCCUUCGGGGUGGAUUAGUGGCGAACGGGUGAGUAACACGUGGGCAAUCUGCCCUUCACUCUGGGACAAGCCCUGGAAACGGGGUCUAAUACCGGAUAACACUCCUGCCUGCAUGGGCGGGGGUUAAAAGCUCCGGCGGUGAAGGAUGAGCCCGCGGCCUAUCAGCUUGUUGGUGGGGUAAUGGCCCACCAAGGCGACGACGGGUAGCCGGCCUGAGAGGGCGACCGGCCACACUGGGACUGAGACACGGCCCAGACUCCUACGGGAGGCAGCAGUGGGGAAUAUUGCACAAUGGGCGAAAGCCUGAUGCAGCGACGCCGCGUGAGGGAUGACGGCCUUCGGGUUGUAAACCUCUUUCAGCAGGGAAGAAGCGAAAGUGACGGUACCUGCAGAAGAAGCGCCGGCUAACUACGUGCCAGCAGCCGCGGUAAUACGUAGGGCGCAAGCGUUGUCCGGAAUUAUUGGGCGUAAAGAGCUCGUAGGCGGCUUGUCACGUCGGAUGUGAAAGCCCGAGGCUUAACCUCGGGUCUGCAUUCGAUACGGGCUAGCUAGAGUGUGGUAGGGGAGAUCGGAAUUCCUGGUGUAGCGGUGAAAUGCGCAGAUAUCAGGAGGAACACCGGUGGCGAAGGCGGAUCUCUGGGCCAUUACUGACGCUGAGGAGCGAAAGCGUGGGGAGCGAACAGGAUUAGAUACCCUGGUAGUCCACGCCGUAAACGUUGGGAACUAGGUGUUGGCGACAUUCCACGUCGUCGGUGCCGCAGCUAACGCAUUAAGUUCCCCGCCUGGGGAGUACGGCCGCAAGGCUAAAACUCAAAGGAAUUGACGG